rnacentral:rRNA from 1 species
CCUACGGGUGGCUGCAGUGGGGAAUAUUGGGCAAUGGGCGCAAGCCUGACCCAGCAACGCCGCGUGAAGGAAGAAGGCUUUCGGGUCGUAAACCUCUUUCAAGAGGGAAGAGCAGAAGACGGUAUCACUUGAAUAAGCUCCGGCUAACUACGUGCCAGCAGCCGGGGUAAUACGUAGGGAGCGAGCAUUGUCCGGAUUUACUGGGUGUAAAGGGCGUGCAGUCGGGAGUACAAGUCAGACGUGAAAUCCCGGGGCUCAACCGCGGAAGUGCCUUUGAAACUGUAUUUCUUGAGUACUGGAGAGGCAGGCGGAAUUCCUGGUGUAGCAGUGAAAUGCGUAGAUAUUAGGAGGAACACCAGUGGCGAAGGCGGUCUGCUGGACAGCAACUGACGGUGAGGCGCGAAAGCGUGGGGAGCAAACAGGAUUAGAUACCCCAGUAGUC